AGUGAAUAAAUAAAUAGAUAAAAAAGUUAUUUAAAUAAUAUAAUGAGAUGAUGAAAACUAUUUAGAAAAUAACUAUUCAUAUUAAUCUAUUUAAUACCGGUGAUCAAAUAUUUAAUUAAUAACGACCGAAAUAAAUAAAUAAAUAUUAGUAUGAAACAAAAAAAGUACAAAAAAGAAAAGAAAAAUAAAAUUCUUUUUUAUGAUUUUAUUAUUAUCAUUUUAUAACUUUAUUAGAUAAAAAAUGAUCCUAAUAUCUAAAAUAAAAUAAAAAUGGGCUCGGGGUGUGUUUGUGAGGAGACAGGGGGUAUGGCCCUAAAUUAGAGAGGGGGAGUGACCCAAAAU
rnacentral:lncRNA from 1 species